rnacentral:rRNA from 1 species
CUACGGGGGGCAGCAGUGGGGAAUAUUGGACAAUGGGCGAAAGCCUGAUCCAGUCAUGCCGCGUGUGUGAAGAAGGCCUUCGGGUUGUAAAGCACUUUCAGUGGGGAAGAAAGCCUUGGGGCUAAUACCCUCGAGGAAGGACAUCACCCACAGAAGAAGCACCGGCUAACUCCGUGCCAGCAGCCGCGGUAAUACGGAGGGUGCGAGCGUUAAUCGGAAUUACUGGGCGUAAAGCGCGCGUAGGCGGUCUGAUAAGCCGGUUGUGAAAGCCCCGGGCUCAACCUGGGAACGGCAUCCGGAACUGUCAGGCUAGAGUGAAGGAGAGGAAGGUAGAAUUCCCGGUGUAGCGGUGAAAUGCGUAGAGAUCGGGAGGAAUACCAGUGGCGAAGGCGGCCUUCUGGACUGACACUGACGCUGAGGUGCGAAAGCGUGGGUAGCAAACAGGAUUAGAUACCCUAGUAGUC